rnacentral:lncRNA from 1 species
UCCAUGAAAUCUUCACAAUUUAUGUUCCUUUGCCAUGGCUUCAGCCAGUCCCUCCGUUUGGGGUCCCUGACUUCCCGCAACAAAGUAAUCUUUUUGUUUGUUGAUUUUCUCUACUUUUUUCAUCUCUGUUCCAAUCUUUAUUAUUUCCUUCCUCUAAUAACUCUAGGCUUAUUUUUCUCACUAAAACUGCAAUUGAGAGGUGUAGCUGAGUAAUGUCCUCAUUCACUAGCCAUAAGGACAUUUUUGGUUUCAUAAUAAAAGUUUUAAACUUGAUUUAAAGAGUAUUUGAAAUUUGACUUAUGAAUAUAUAGGCUUGUUUUUUAACAAUAUAGACUCUCUUUUUACUUUGUAUUUUUAAUUGUGAUAAAAUGCCGAUAUGUUUUGGCUCAUCCC